AUUGAACGCUGGCGGCAGGCCUAACCCAUGCAAGUCGAACGAGUGGCGGACGGGUGAGUAAUGUCUGGGAAACUGCCUGAUGGAGGGGGAUAACUACUGGAAACGGUAGCUAAUACCGCAUACCAUCAGAUGUGCCCAGAUGGGAUUAGCGAGUUGGUGGGGUAACGGCUCACCAAGGCGACGAUCCCUAGCUGGUCUGAGAGGAUGACCAGCGACACUGGAACUGAGACACGGUACAGACUCCUAAGGGAGGGAGAAGUGGGGAAUAUGGCACAAUGGGCGAAAGCCUGAGGCAUCCAGGCCGCGUGUAUGAAGAAGGCCUUCGGGUUGUAAAGUACUUUCAGCGGGGAGGCGUUACCCGCAGAAGAAGCACCGGCUAACUCCGUGCCAGCAGCCGCGGUAAUUC
rnacentral:rRNA from 1 species